rnacentral:rRNA from 1 species
UACGAAGGGGGCUAGCGUUGUUCGGAGUUACUGGGCGUAAAGCGCACGCAGGCGGUCUGCUAAGUUUGGAGUGACAGUUGGUGGCUUAACUGCCAAAGUGCUUCGAAAACUGACAGACUUGAGGGCUUCAGAGGGACACGGAAUUCCGGGUGGAGUGGUGAAAUGCGUAGAGAUCCGGAGGAACACCAAAGGCGAAGGCAGUGGCCUGGGGAGUACCGGACGCUCAGGUGCGAAAGCCAGGGGAGCGAACGGG